AAUUAAACUUCCUCCUAUCUAUGACUUUAUGAGUUUUUUUUCUUUAAAAAUUGUUGUUCAAAAAUUACCAAUGUGUGAAAUAGUGAUGUAGUGAUGAAAUAAUUGUUUGUUAAUAUCCUAAUAGCAUAGUUCAAUAAAUUACAUAGAGCACUGUCACGUAAAAGGGGGGAAAGAACCAUUUACCGAAGUAGGUGAACAAGUUAAAUCAAAUACUUGGACCGCACUGUAUAAAGGCCAAAAGUGUACCAGCAAACAAUGCAUUUCAAUCCAGGAGGUGGCACUUAAUUACCUCUCUUAUCUUUUAUAUAUUUACACAAAUACUUCGUACAAAUAAAGAUACUUGAAGCGUGAAAUUUUGUCAUCUUGAUAGACUUCUCUUUACGAUUGCUGUUUGUGAUUUUAAACUGUCUUGUCAAACACUUGCUAUGGAUAGCUCUAUAUACGUGAAGGUAAUGAAAAGCAUACACAUACAUACACAUUCUCUGUUGCUUACAUUAAACGGCGAAUUUUAUCACGAAUAACUUCGUUGAAACGAAUCGGAACGAAAUCUCUCUCGAGAUAAAAUCUAGCUUUUGAUGUGCUUUUCACUUUCAUACUUAUCUGUAUGCAUUCUUGCGUGAAAUCGUUUUUUAUUUUUCACGAUAUAACUCAAGAUACAUUACCGGCCUUUUUGACACCAAACACAUGUAGAUCUAUAUUAACAUAUUUGUGGCUGGAAAUUUUAAAAUUCAAUAAUUUUUCUAGUUAAUUUCAAAUAUGAAUUAAUAAUAAUAGUUAGACUGCAGAUGUUUAUGCAUUCUAAAAUAAUUUAAAAAUAUAAAGAUAUAUAGAAUACACUUAAUAUGCAAAAAUAUAAAAGAUAUCCAAAAUAAAGAGGUUAGUGCGGUAUUUAAUGGGUGGAGCAAAUCUCUAUUUCCUGAGUUACAUUCAUAAAAAUAUGAAAUUCCAUAAACAUCCGCGUCUAAUUGAUUACCAUAAAAAAUUUCCCUUUCCUCGGAAUCAACUAAGGUGAAAAAACCGAAUAAUACACCAGUGGCCAUUAACAUGUUUAGCACAUCAGUAAUGAUAAAUAAAACUAUCAGAAAAAUUAAAAAG